GUGUUCUGGCUUUGGCAGCACAUAUACUAAAAUUGGAAUAAUACAGAGAAGAUUAGCAUAGCCCCUGAGAGAGGAUGACAGGCAAAUUUGUGAAGAGUUCUAUAUUGAA
ensembl:snRNA U6 U6 spliceosomal RNA